rnacentral:ncRNA from 1 species
ACAAAAACUGUGAAAAGAACUAGUAAAUUAACUGAUUCUUAUAGAGAAGGGAUCCAAGGCUGGAAGAUUCCUAGAUAGGUUAAUUGAAGCUCUCUUGGAGUUGCAACUUUGAAUCAAGUAGGAGUUGCCGGAUUAUUUCCGUUACAAUAAGGUUUAACCUAAGAUGCUAAUUUUUAGCAAAUAGGGUGGUACCGCGAGAUUAAUCCCUCGUCCCUAUG